rnacentral:rRNA from 1 species
UAGGGAAUCUUCCGCAAUGGACGCAAGUCUGACGGAGCAACGCCGCGUGAGUGAAGAAGGAUUUCGGUUCGUAAAACUCUGUUGUUAGAGAAGAACAGCGCAUAGAGUAACUGUUAUGCGUGUGACGGUAUCUAACCAGAAAGCCACGGCUAACUACGUGCCAGCAGCCGCGGUAAUACGUAGGUUGCAAGCGUUUUCCGGCUUUAUUGGGCGUAAAGCGAGCGCAGGCGGUCAAUUAAGUCUGAUGUGAAAGCCCCCGGCUCAACCGGGGAGGGUCAUUGGAAACUGGUUGACUGGAGUGCAGAAGAGGAGAGUGGAAUUCCAUGUGUAGCGGUGAAAUGCGUAGAUAUAUGGAGGAACACCAGUGGCGAAGGCGACACUCUGGUCUGUAACUGACGCGGAGGCUCGAAAGCGUGGGUAGCAAACAGG